rnacentral:lncRNA from 1 species
GUGAGCUGGAGGAUCCGGCCAAGUGCAGAAGCAUCCCAAGCAGGUGUGAUAUCUAUGAAAGCACUGGCAGUGAAGGGGUCUGCAGGGCUUUGCUUCGUGGCAGAGGUGGACCAGAUGCAAUGAGCUCAGCUCCUCCCUGUCCUUUCCUUCUCAACGGGAACGCUUGGGAGGAAAGGGAGCACACCAGGGCCCGUGCCAGCACAGCAGGCUGUGUCAGCACCAGGGCUGAGCCAGGGCAGAGACACCCAGCCCUGGCCCAUGUUUGGGCACCGCUUGCUUGCAUUUGAACCCUUCUGCAGAGGAAAACAGCCGCAUGCCUGGAGCGUGGGCUGCAGAGCUCCUGCAGAAGGGCUGUGCUGCCCUGUAAUAUGGCACUCAGCCUUGAUCCACCCUUCAGCGUGGCUGCCUGGGUCCACCUGGUUCCAAACGCAUCUUUCCCUCCCAGCGCAGCACCCAGCACUGCGCUGGGCUGUCAGCCUCUGUUGUUCUCUCCCUGCUGGUGAGUCAGUAUUUGGCCAAAGGUGAGACUGCAGGAGGUGGCAUUGCCUGAGAUAAGCUGGCAGAAUGGCCAGCUCUGAUUUUUUUCCUUCACGAUAUAGGCUGUAUAUUUUUAUCCCAAGAAUGGAAAUCAGAAAAAAGAAAAAAAAAAAAAAAAAAAAAGGAAUGGGAAUAACCCCCUCUGCUUUGAAGGCAUCAAAUCCAUCGCUGCUUCAUUGAGGGUUUGGUAAUAUUCAACCCACGGCCCUUAGUGAGACAGUAUAACUGUGGAUAGAAAGAGGGCUGACUGCCCUGGGGCAGCGAGAGGGGCUGUGCACCGGGCUGGCUUGGAAGGAAAGUGGUGAGGAUGAGGAUGAGGAGGAGGAGGAGGAGGAGGAAGGCUGGCAGCUGCAAGCAGGAGGGACGGAGAGGAAGCAGAGGCCGGAGCUGUUUGCCAUGGUGGAGAAGCCAGAGAGGCAUUUGCUGAGGAAGCGAAGAGAAAGAUCAGAUUCUACCACCCCUUGAUUUCACCUCAAUUUGGGAAUCCUUUGAAUGCUGAGGUCUCUGGUGUCUGGGUGCUGCCUGUCUUCCACGUGAGACGUAAUGAAGGCACGACUGGGAUCUUGUGAACCCUGAGCCCUUUCUCAAGGUACAGACACUUGGACCAUGCUCCCAGCUCACAGUGUUUGAGCUUUAGAG